rnacentral:tRNA from 1 species
GGGGGUAUAGCUCAUUGGCAGAGCAUUUGACUGCAGAUCAAAAAGUCCCCAGUUCAAAUCUAGGUGCCCUUU